AGUGAACGCUGGCGGUAGGCCUAACACAUGCAAGUCGAACGGCAGCACAGCAAGAGCUUGCUCUUACGGGUGGCGAGUGGCGGACGGGUGAGGAAUACAUCGGAAUCUACUUUUUCGUGGGGGAUAACGUAGGGAAACUUACGCUAAUACCGCAUACGACCUACGGGUGAAAGCAGGGGAUCUUCGGACCUUGCGCGAUUGAAUGAGCCGAUGUCGGAUUAGCUAGUUGGCGGGGUAAAGGCCCACCAAGGCGACGAUCCGUAGCUGGUCUGAGAGGAUGAUCAGCCACACUGGAACUGAGACACGGUCCAGACUCCUACGGGAGGCAGCAGUGGGGAAUAUUGGAUAAUGGGCGCAAGCCUGAUCCAGCCAUACCGCGUGGGUGAAGAAGGCCUUCGGGUUGUAAAGCCCUUUUGUUGGGAAAGAAAAGCAGCAGGUUAAUACCCCGCUGUUCUGACGGUACCCAAAGAAUAAGCACCGGCUAACUUCGUG
rnacentral:rRNA from 1 species